rnacentral:rRNA from 1 species
GGAGUUAGCCGGUGCUUCUUCUGUGAGUGAUGUCCUUCCUGCCGGUUAUUGACCCGCAGGCCUUCUUCCUCACUGAAAGUGCUUUACAACCCGAAGGCCUUCUUCACACACGCGGCAUGGCUGGAUCAGGGUUGCCCCCAUUGUCCAAUAUUCCCCACUGCUGCCUCCCGUAGGAGUCUGGGCCGUGUCUCAGUCCCAGUGUGGCUGAUCAUCCUCUCAGACCAGCUACGGAUCGUCGCCUUGGUGAGCCGUUACCUCACCAACCAGCUAAUCCGACAUAGGCUCAUCCGAUAGCGCGAGGCCCGAAGGUCCCCCGCUUUCCCCCGUAGGGCGUAUGCGGUAUUAGCCUGGGUUUCCCCCAGGUUAUCCCCCACUACCGGGCAGAUUCCUAUGCAUUACUCACCCGUCCGCCGCUCGCCACCAGGGAGCAAGCUCCCCGUGCUGCCGCUCGACUUGCAUGUGUAGCUGCCGCCAGCGUCAAUCUGAGCGAGANACAACUACUGA